rnacentral:rRNA from 1 species
UACGUAGGGUGCGAGCGUUGUCCGGAAUUAUUGGGCGUAAAGAGCUCGUAGGCGGUUUGUCGCGUCUGCUGUGAAAACCUAAGGCUCAACCUUGGGCUUGCAGCGGGUACGGGCAGACUAGAGUGCGGUAGGGGUGACUGGAAUUCCUGGUGUAGCGGUGGAAUGCGCAGAUAUCAGGAGGAACACCGAUGGCGAAGGCAGGUCACUGGGCCGCAACUGACGCUGAGGAGCGAAAGCAUGGGGAGCGAACAGG